GGAUCGAGCCGCAACCCCGGCAUGUCCCCUGACUGGGAAUGGAACCGGGACCUCUUGGUCCAUGGGAUGACUCUCAGUCCACUGAGCCAUCACAGCUGGGCUAAACUUUUAAUCUUUUAAUCUUAAGAUGUAUUUUCUAUUUAUUCACCAAGUCAACACCUGUGAUCCAGGCACUGUGCUAAGGGCUGAUUAGUCAAAUAUAAACAGCCUGGUGAAGAGGCAUGUACAUAAAUCAUUUCCUUGGUGUGUGUGCUGUCUUAGGGCUGCCAGUUGAGUUGGUAGGGAGUAAAUGAGGGAAGAGGUAUCCUUUCUCCACGGAGAUAUACUUUUUAGAACAAUGAGUAAAAAAGUUCACCACCUAAACGAGAAAAGACAGAUGUUCCAAAGGGAAGCGACAGUAAACCUCAGGUGAAGCCUAGCAUCCUCUGGGAGCAGCAAAACUUAAGGCCGGGGGUGCUUGGGGGAGGUGACCAGAGAUGAAGCCAGGGAAGGUUGGCAGGGGCCAGAUCAUAAAGGAUCUUAUAAGUCAUGCUCAAAAUUUACCAGGAACUUACAAAUAGGUGAUUUUGAGCAAUGGAGUAACGUGAUCAAAUGACAAAGUUUACAAUAAAUAGAAGUUGGUUUAACUGUUAAUUAGGAAGGUAAUUUCUCCUUACCCUCGGCAUGAUAACUUUAAAUUGGCAUAUAAAAUAGGUUAAGUAAAUAAGGAAUACCUCUUUAUGCCACUUUCCUUAUUCAGAUCUUUGUUAGUAUUUAGUAUAAAUGUAUUACUCAUUUUAAUCAGUACCACAGUAUUGAACACUAAUCACUACCCCAUAAAUAUGAACAAGACUCAGGAUAAUGGAAACUUUAGAUGAGGAACAAUGAUUAGUUUCCUAGGUUAAUAACUUUAUUAAAAUUGCACUAUCCCUUUCUCACCAUGCCAUCUAUAAUAAUAACUAAAAUUAUUUAUCAUAUUUUUCCUACUUUUUUUUAUAAGUUGGCAAUUCACUUUCCGUCAGAAGAGAUUCUUCUAGUAACAGCUUCUCCUGUUAUUAAAGCAGUUACAAAUUUCAAGCAGAUUUCUAAAGUAUUGGAAGAGUUUGAUGUUGAAGAACAACCAAGUACCAUGUUAGAAAACCGCUUUCCCAACAUUAAAGUUAUAGAAUGUGGAGUAAAGCAACUGAAGAGUGAAGAACAUUGCAUUUUAACAGAAGAUGGCAGUCAGCACGUAUAUAAGAAACUCUGUCUGUGUGCUGGAGCUAAACCAAAGUUGAUAUGUGAAGGAAAUCCUUAUGUAUUAGGAAUUCGUGAUACAGAUAGUGCUCAGGAAUUUCAGAAACAGCUUACGAAUGCUAAAAGAAUAAUGAUCAUAGGGAAUGGUGGUAUCGCACUUGAAUUAGCGUAUGAAGUCGAAGGUUGUGAAGUAAUUUGGGCCAUUAAAGAUAAGGCUAUUGGGAAUACUUUCUUCGAUGCAGGAGCAGCUGAAUUCUUGACCUCAAAGCUCAUUGCUGAAAAACCAGAGGCUAAAAUUGCACAUAAAAGAACCAGAUAUACAACUGAAGGAAAGAAAAAGGAAGCAGAAACCAAAAUUAAUGCUGGUAAUGUAGGCAGUGCCUUGGGACCUGAUUGGCAUGAAGGCUUAAAUCUUAAAGGAACAAGAGAGUUUUCUCAUAAGAUUCACAUUGAAACUAUGUGUGAAGUAAAGAAUAUCUAUCUUCAGAAGGAAUUUAGAAUCUCUAAGAAAAAGUCCUUGACAUUUCCAAGAGACCAUCAAAAUGAGUUAGUUACAACUGAUAAAGAGAUAUGGCCUGUGUAUGUGGAGCUGACCAACGAAAAGAUAUAUGGCUGUGAUUUCAUUGUCAGUGCUACAGGAGUUACACCAAAUAUAGAACCUUUUCUCUGUGGCAACAAUUUUGAUCUAGGAGAAGACGGUGGCCUGAGAGUGGAUGAUCAUAUGCACACAUCCCUUCCUGAUAUCUAUGCUGCAGGUGACAUCUGUACUGCUUCCUGGCAACCCAGCCCAUUCUGGCAGCAGAUGAGGCUGUGGACCCAGGCUAGACAGAUGGGAUGGUACGCAGCGAAGUGCAUGGCUGCAGCUAGUUUAGGAGAGUCUAUUGACAUGGAUUUCAGCUUCGAACUUUUUGCUCAUGUAACAAAGUUUUUUAACUAUAAGGUUGUAUUGCUGGGAAAAUACAAUGCACAGAGCUUGGGUUCAGAUCAUGAAUUAAUGCUGAGAUGUACCAAAGGACAAGAAUACAUCAAAGUCGUCAUGCAGAAUGGACGAAUGAUGGGAGCUGUCUUAAUUGGUGAAACCAAUUUAGAAGAAACAUUUGAAAACUUGAUAUUAAACCAGAUGAAUCUUUCAUCAUAUGGAGAAGAUCUACUAGAUCCAAACAUUGAUAUAGAAGAUUAUUUUGACUAAAAAGAGCAUUUCAAGAACCACAUAGUUUCAAAUAAGACAAAAUGUCAAGUCAAUGAUGUGAAGGACUGCACUGAUUUAAUGGUGACCACAUUGAAGUUAAAAAUACACAGCCCCUGUAUUCUUAGUAUCAGAUUGCUGAAGUAUGUUUGCAGAUUUCUUCUGGAAGUUGCCCGAAUUUUUUCCUUCCUUCUUUUUAUCAGAUCCUUCAGAAUAACAAGUUUGAGAUGAUUCAAUCUACAAAACAAUAACAAACACCCGGUAAAAAUUCAGUUAAUUUUGUUUUCUCAUGAGAUUCAUAAUCUCACUAGUCCUGUAUCAGUUAGCUCUUGAAGUGUCCAGUGGUCUGGUUUUCUAUCUUCAAAUUUCUACUCACAUAUGAGUCCCAUCUUAAAUAGAAGGCUCUAUACCAUCAGAGAAACCAUAAAGAACACCUAAAGUGUCCUUAGACACAAUUGUAUAUGGCAUGCUUUUGCAAGCUUGAUAGUACUUAGUUUAUAACUGCUUUUCAACCUCUACCACAGAGGCAGACUUCUCAACCAACAUUGAUCACAUGA